GAAACUUUAGAAUUGCAAAUAGUGAACAGUAAUCCUGAACAUUUUGUCCUGGAUGUUAACAAAUCAGAACUGGUCAUGCCUCCUCACUCCAACAUCGAGUUGUCUGUUCACUUUCAUCCUUCUGUACUUGGAAGAAUAGGUCAUCAAGCUUCUAUCAACUUCCAAUGUGCUCAGUUUGAUGAGUGGAAAUUCUACCUCUCUGGAAUAGGACUAUUCCCCCAGCCUCUAGAGACAGAAAGAAUGAUCACAAACCUUGGUUUUCCUUCAUCUAUUGUUAUAAACUUUAAAAAUCCAACCAAGGAAAAUGUUCUCAUUGAUAU